CCAGGGACUUUCCACAUGUUCCUCCCUCUGCCAGAAAGCUUCCCCUCCACUCCUUCCCUUGGCUGAUUGCUUCGCGUCAUUCAGGUCUCUGCUCAAAUGGCUCCUCCUCCAAGAAGCCUCCCUGACUUACAGCUCCAAGCCCUUACCCAUUCCGUCCUCAUUUCGUCUUCUUUCUGGCACAUAUCACAGACUGAGACCGUGUUGUUUGUUUACUUGCAUCAUUGUAUAUCUACUGCCUCUGCCCCAAUCAGAAUGGAAGUCUCAUAGCCUUGAGAAUUUGAUCAUCUUGGUUACUGCUGUGUCCCCAAGACUGGAAGAUUUCCCUGCACAAAAGUAAUAAUUCAGGGUGUCAGCAUAUCAGAAUUCCAGUGGCUGUGAUUAGAAUGACAAUGAGUUGCUGUGAUCUGGCCAUUUGAAUCGUCAUAUUACAGUAAGUCAUUUCCGUAAGGCCUGGUGAGCUUCUGUCUGCUGAGGGGCCAAAACUCAGUCUGGGUUUUCAGCUCUGGAAGAAAUGUCUCUGAUAUUCCCCUCCAGUCUGCCAGCCUCUAUAUCUGUAAGCUACCUGCAGGAGAUAGUUUUGUUUCAUGUGGCUUCUUUUUUGAGACUGAGUCUCACUCUGUCACCCAGGCUGGAGUGCAGUGGUGUGAUCUCGACUCACUGCAACCUCUGCCUCCCAGGUUCAAGUGAUUCUUCUGCCUCAGCCUCCUGAGUAGCUGGGAUUACAGGCACCCAUCACCAUGCCCGGCUAAUUUUUGUGUUUUUAGUAGAGACAGGGUUUCACCAUGUUGGCCAGGCUGGUCUUGAACUCCUGACCUCAAUUGAUCCACCCACCUCUGCCUCCCAAAGUGCUGGGAUGACAAGCAUGAGCCACCGCUCCAGGCCAACAGGAGAUUGUUUUGAAAACAUGGGUGAAGACUGUGUGCCCAAAUCCACCGGCAUUGGAGGGGUCAGUGUGGGCUUGGCACAAGCCCCCAUCAGGAACGAAUGGGAAUUUAAGAGCACCUGGAUUUUCUGAAGAGCAGGAGAAGCCCUGCCCGUCCAGCUGUUCGGGAGGUGCUCUGGAGUCUGCAGCAGGGUCUUGUGUUAUUGGGGGAGGACAUUCCACUCCUUGUCAGCUGUGAAAAAAAUGAACCCACCCACGAAAGAAGACACAGCGCAUAGUUCAUGACCCAAGGAAGAGGGGAUUUCUUUAAACAUUCGAAAACCUUCUAGAAAAAUAUGCAGGCAUUAAAACAUACAUGGAAUUAGGCCGGAUCCUCAAAGUUAAUAUUCACCACAUGUAUUUACAUUCAACUCAACGCCAGCAAAUUGAGUACUGCAUUACAGCUUGGAGAAAGAGGAGAUUGCCUCUCACACAGGCUGACAUUAAGUUGAGUUACUGUUCUGCCGUAGACUUCUCCAGGAAGUCAAAAAGACAGUUGAGAGAAUCAGGCUGAAAAUCCUCCUGGUACAUCUACCUCCUAAUUUCAAAUACAAAUUAGUGAAAUUUUAACAUUUCAGAUGUCAUACCUUGAGCAAAUUAAAAAUCAACAAAAAUAUUAAGGUUCUAUGUUACCUGCUCAAAUGUACAGAAUGUAUAAAAACUUUAAUCAAACACUCGGGUUUGCUCAGUUUUAAAUUGUGUUAGUUUAAUAGUUUCUUUUCUGCUGUUUAUAUUAAUGACAUAUUCCCAUCUAAAUAUAUUGCCAUGCUGAAAAACCAUCACAACAUUUC
rnacentral:lncRNA from 10 species